rnacentral:rRNA from 1 species
UACGAAGGGGGCUAGCGUUGCUCGGAAUUACUGGGCGUAAAGCGCACGUAGGCGGUCUUCUAAGUCGGGGGUGAAAUCCUGGAGCUCAACUCCAGAACUGCCUUCGAUACUGGAAGACUUGAGUCCGGGAGAGGUGAGUGGAACUGCGAGUGUAGAGGUGAAAUUCGUAGAUAUUCGCAAGAACACCAGUGGCGAAGGCGGCUCACUGGCCCGGUACUGACGCUGAGGUGCGAAAGCGUGGGGAGCAAACAGG